rnacentral:tRNA from 1 species
GCCGCAGAUCAAGCACGAGAUCCCCCAGCCUCUUUCCUAAAGCGGGUGUCGCAGGUUCGAAUCCUGCCGGGGGCA